rnacentral:rRNA from 1 species
GACGAACGCUGGCGGCGUGCUUAACACAUGCAAGUCGAACGAAGUGGCGAACGGGUGAGUAACGCGUAAUCAACCUGCCCUUCAGAGGGGGACAACAGUUGGAAACGACUGCUAAUACCUCAUACUUAAGGAGGGGAUUGCGUCGGAUUAGCUAGUUGGAGGGGUAACGGCCCACCAAGGCGAUGAUCAGUAGCCGGUCUGGGAGGAUGAACGGCCACAUGGGGACUGAGACAAGGCCCAGAAUCCUACGGGAGGCAGCAGUGGGGAAUCUUCCGAAAUGGACGAAAGGCUGACGGAGCAACGCCGCGUGAGAGAUGAAGGCCGUCGGGUUGUAAAGCUCUGUUAAUCGGGACGCGGUACCGGAAUAGAAAGCCACGGCUAACUACGUGCCAGCCGCCGCGGUAAUAC